UACGAAGGGGGCUAGCGUUGCUCGGAAUUACUGGGCGUAAGGGGCGCGUAGGCGGCUCUGUCAGUCAGGCGUGAAAUUCCUGGGCUCAACCUGGGGGCUGCGCUUGAUACGGCAGGGCUAGAGGUCAGAAGAGGGUCGUGGAAUUCCCAGUGUAGAGGUGAAAUUCGUAGAUAUUGGGAAGAACACCGGUGGCGAAGGCGGCGACCUGGUCUGAUACUGACGCUGAGGCGCGACAGCGUGGGGAGCAAACAGG
rnacentral:misc_RNA from 1 species